rnacentral:rRNA from 1 species
AUUGAACGCUGGCGGCAUGCCUUACACAUGCAAGUCGAACGGUAACAGGUCUUCUGCUGCUGGCGUGUGGCGCACGGGUGUGUGUUACAUCUAAACAUCUCCGUUCUUGUGGGGUAUAACGGCGGGAGCUUUGCUCUUACCCCAUACGAUCUACGGAUGAGAGCGUGGGGUCUUCUGACCUCGCACGCUCGCAGCGGCCGAUGGCAGAUUAGGUAGUUGGUGGGAUAAAAGCUUACCAAGCCGACGAUCUGUAGCUGGUCUGAGAGGAUGAUCAGCCACACUGGAACUGAGACACGGCCCAGACUCCUACGGGAGGCAGCAGUGGGGAAUUUUGGACAAUGGGCGAAAGCCUGAUCCAGCCAUGCCGCGUGCAGGAUGAAGGCCUUUGGGUUGUAAACUGCUUUUGGACGGAACGAAAAGCCUCUAGCUAAUAAAGAGGGGUCAUGACGGUACCGUAAGAAUAAGCACCGGCUAACUACGUG